GGAGAGAUGUCCGAGCGGCUGAAGGAGCACGACUGGAAAUCGUGUGUGCUGGCUAAAACUGGCACCGAGGGUUCAAAUCCCUCUCUCUCCGCCA
rnacentral:tRNA from 1 species